UCCGCCUGAAACGAGCCGCUAGUAUAACAAGGUCGUUCUUCCACGAGCUCCAGACUGGAAGUGGUACUUUCCAGGCCCAGGGCGAUGUUCUGCUGUCUGGAGAUGUAAAUGCCAGGACCGGUUCUGAGUGUGACAGCACCGGAGCUCUCGGGAAUAAACUCUCAGUCAAAACCUCUCCAUACCUGCUCUCCAGACUGAACCGUCAUACAGGAUUGGAAGAACGUGAAGUGGAGUAAAUGGCAUGUUCUUCAGGUGACAUACUACGUUCAAUCCUCCGGUCGAAGCGUCAGUGGCUCUCCGUCCGUCUCUCCCCGUAAUGAGGCAGUGGAGGAAAUGAGCGAGUGAAUGUGUGGAGGUGUAAUAGUCGGAAGGAGAAAUGGAAAGAGAUGAAUCGCUAGCAGAUAGAUAAUUGGAAAGAGGCUCUCUGGAGAAGCGCAUGAGAAGGCUUGUGUAAUUAGAACGGAGGAGUGUGUGAGGAAUCUAAAUGUUUCUGUGUUUGGGUCUGCCGUCCUGUAGAGCCACUCAGACACACGAGUCCAUCUGUUUCCUGCUGCUUCACCUGCAUCCAGACACACCAGCAGCUGUUCGUUUGUUCGAGUGUGUGCUGAUGAUUUAGUGCAUUGAUCAUAUCUCAUCACACUCCACGUAAACACAAGUGCCUCUGGAAAU